rnacentral:rRNA from 1 species
UACAGAGGGUGCAAGCGUUAAUCGGAAUUACUGGGCGUAAAGCGUGCGUAGACGGUUAUGUAAGUCAGAUGUGAAAGCCCCGGGCUCAACCUGGGAAUUGCAUUUGAGACUGUGUAGCUAGGGUGCGGAAGAGGGAAGCGGAAUUUCCGGUGUAGCGGUGAAAUGCGCAGAUAUCAGGAGGAACACCAAUUGCGAAGGCAGCUCGCUGGGACGUUACUGACGCUGAGACGCGAAAGCGUGGGGAGCAAACAGG